CAGUCGCCGCGGUAAUACAGAGGAUGCAAGCGUUAUCCGGAAUGAUUGGGCGUAAAGGGUGCGUAGGCGGUCUGACAAGUCCUAUGUGAAAUCUUCGGGCUCAACCCGAAGUCUGCAUGGGUAACUGUCGGGCUUGAGUAUGGGAGAGGUGAGUGGAAUUUCCGGUGUAGCGGUGAAAUGCGUAGAUAUCGGAAGGAACACCUGUGGCGAAAGCGGCUCACUGGACCAUAACUGACGCUGAGGCACGAAAGCUAGGGGAGCAAACAGGAUUAGAUACCCGCGUAGUCCCUGUCUCUUAUAA
rnacentral:rRNA from 1 species